UACGUAGGGGGCUAGCGUUGUCCGGAAUCAUUGGGCGUAAAGCGCGUGUAGGCGGUCCGGUAAGUCCGCUGUGAAAGUCGGGGGCUCAACCCUCGGAUGCCGGUGGAUACUGUCGGGCUUGAGUACGGAAGAGGCGAGUGGAAUUCCUGGUGUAGCGGUGAAAUGCGCAGAUAUCAGGAGGAACACCAAUUGCGAAGGCAGCUCGCUGGGACGUUACUGACGCUGAGGCACGAAAGCUAGGGGAGCAAACAGG
rnacentral:rRNA from 1 species